rnacentral:lncRNA from 1 species
GCACCGAUAUUUUACAUUAAUCUAGAGAGCAUGACUAAUGACAUAAAAUUACAAAUUUAUAUACAAGCAAUUAUGACCCGUUUAAUAGGAUCAUAUCACACCUAGAUUGGUGUUCAAAUGCUAGAUAACAUUAUUAAGUAACAAAAUUAUACCAAUCAAACACAAUAAAUUAACAAUUAUCAGAAAAAUAAUUUCUAAACAAUUUAAUUCCUUGGAAUUCGUUUUCUUUCCACUCAAAUUCUAUCUUUGCAAUCAAACGGACCCUAAAUAAAAUAAAAUCGAUUCCACGCUUAAUUUCAACAUGGUGCAAACCGAUCCAUGAGCAAAAACGUCAUUUCUGACCCAGUCUCCUCCCUCAAGGCGUUUGUUGGUGACUUGAGGGUGGCUGAUGACGAAGACAACUCUUGCUUCCACUGUUUUCUUUCGUGUACCUCAUUAGCCAUAAUCUGAAUAAUUGGAUUUCGGGCUCCGACUUUCGCUCUUACCUUUGAAAUUUUUUCGAGGCACACAUCAACUACAGCUGCCAUUUCUGUAUUCUCCUUUCCUCUCUAUUUCUUGAUGAAAUUAUUGAAAUCGAUGUAGAGAUGAAAGUAGUUUAUUAUUGCAUUUGUAGAGUGGGAAAAUGAAUGGUUCUAAAGGGGAAAAAAAUAUCAGCGUGCGAAGGCCCCUUGAAUAUUGCUAUAUGAUCCCCUUGGAAGUGAAUAUUUUAUAGGAUAUUCCAAGAAACUGCUUAGCAUAUUUCUCAGACAAAUCCAAUAUUAAAGCAUGGGAAAAUUGCACCAUCGGUUCCCACUAUUUGCUUUUAGCAACUACUUCGUGGUCGAAACCUUCAAUAUGGAGUAUUUCGAUCCUUAACCUUUCGCUUGUCCAUAGUUACC